rnacentral:rRNA from 1 species
GAGUUUGAUCAUGGCUCAGAAUCAACGCUGGCGGCGUGCCUAACACAUGCAAGUCGAACGAGAAAGGAGACUUCGGUCUUCGAGUAAAGUGGCGAACGGGUGAGUAACGCGUGGGUGAUCUACCCUUUUGAGUGGGAUAACCCUCCGAAAGGAGGGCUAAUACCGCAUACGCCGGUAAUUAUAAGGGAUUAUCGGGAAAGGCCUUUGGGUCGCAGAAGGAGGAGCCCGCGUCCGAUUAGCUAGUUGGUGAGGUAAGAGCUCACCAAGGCGACGAUGGGUAGCCGGUCUGAGAGGACGGACGGCCACACUGGGACUGAGACACGGCCCAGACUCCUACGGGAGGCAGCAGUGGGGAAUUUUGGGCAAUGGGGGCAACCCUGACCCAGCAACGCCGCGUGGAGGAAGAAGAUCUUCGGAUCGUAAACUUCUGUCCGGAGGGACGAAGGAAGUGACGGUACCUCUGGAGGAAGCCCCGGCUAACUCCGUGCCAGCAGCCGCGGUAAUACGGGGG